rnacentral:rRNA from 1 species
GACGAACGCUGGCGGCGUGCUUAACACAUGCAAGUCGAACGGAAAGGCCCUGCUUUUGUGGGGUGCUCGAGUGGCGAACGGGUGAGUAACACGUGAGUAACCUGCCCUUGACUUUGGGAUAACUUCAGGAAACUGGGGCUAAUACCGGAGAGGAGCUCCUGCUGCAUGGUGGGGGUUGGAAAGUUUCGGCGGUUGGGGUUGGACUCGCGGCUUAUCAGCUUGUUGGUGGGGUAGUGGCUUACCAAGGCUUUGACGGGUAGCCGGCCUGGGAGGUGACCGGCCACAUUGGGACUGAGAGACGGCCCAGACUCCUACGGGAGGCAGCAGUGGGGAAUAUUGCACAAUGGGCGGAAGCCUGAUGCAGCAACGCCGCGUGCGGGAUGACGGCCUUCGGGUUGUAACCCGCUUUCGCCUGUGACGAAGCGUGAGUGACGGUAAUGGGUAAAGAAGCACCGGCUAACUACGUG